GAGAAUGAAGGGGCUGUAUCCACCCUUGCAGAUGGAGAAUGAAUGUCAAGCUGGGAACUAGAACUUUCUUUGCUUUGAGAUUUUUCUUUUUCCUUUUAGGAGCUGAUAUCCUGAAAGACUCUUCCUUUCUGCUGUUUUCCCUUUCCACUCUGCUGGAAGAAAUUGUAAAACCUACAUCCUGUUUGGUUCUGGGAGAAAGGUGAUCCUGGAGGGCUGAGACAUGCUGGUCUACCCAGGACAGGAAGGGCACCAUUUCAGGACAUCAAGGAGGACACUAGCCUGGCCUGUCAUAGUGUUAUGGUUUGAUUGAUUAUGUUAAAGGCAAUCCUGGGACAUACAGUGACCAGGUACUUGGUCCAGCGAUACUGACUCCCUGCCGUUGAAGAGAGAGAAAGACUGAGGUGAUCUUCAACUGUUCAGCAUUUAGCAAAAUCUGGCAUAUAGUCCAAACAGCCCUCCUCCUCCACCCUUCCUGCCCAUCCUGAGCAGCCUUCCAAGAAAGCUGGAUUACAGUGGACUGCAGUCCUCGGGGCUGAGGAAUGGGCACUCUGCUUCUGCCCAGCUUUUGAGGAUUCUUCCUUGCCUUCUGCUGGAAAGAAGGGGCUGGCUCCUCCCACCUGAGCUGGCAGGCUAACCAGUUGGCUCUGUGGCUCAGUGGUGCCAACGCCCUGGUCGAGAUGCACUGGCGAUGAUAAUGACUGCUGUGCUUUGCCUGUAAUUAUGCAGUCUCCACGCCCCCCGGGGCUGGCAUGGUUGUAUUUGCCUGUGCUGUUUGGGGGUUGAUCCUACUGUCAGCGCUUAGCAAGAAUUAACAGUGACACUCCGUGCACCACAGUCAUAACACUAAAUCUGAUGUGC